rnacentral:lncRNA from 1 species
ACAACCUGACUCAUAAUAAUAUAAUAUGCACAGCGGAAUGAAAUGCUAAUAUUAUAAAACAAUAAUAUGACCCCUACAUGCAACUGGAUCGUACACAAUUUAUGAUAUGAAACAAGCACUAAUAAAACCAUAAUGUGAUUACACACUACACACCUACCUAGAGUAGCUUUUACAGUAAACCACACAAACCCUCCAAAAGUCUAAAUAAGUUUUAUGGCUAGUUCAAAUUUUAUUACAUACUACCAAAAGUUCUAUGUAUACUCUGGAUUCUUUCUACCUGAGCAGGGAGGUUGAACCGAAAUAUCUGUGGAUGGCUAAGUGGGACCCUCUUGCGAGCGGUAAGACGCAUCCUCGGCAUACUUAGGUCUGGCUGAAAGUUUAGCACAACAGUAACAAAGCAAGAAUGAGCAACUAGAAGGCUCAACAAUAUAUAUAUAAAAUGCUUAAAUGUAAAGCAUUAAUAAGUGCUAUUCUUCUGGAAGGAAAAGAUAAGGAAUAAUAGUCUCUCAUGAAAACCGAAAGCAAUAUUAGCUUAAGUAAUCAAAUUAAAAAUUUUGAUUUCAACUUUCACUGACGGGUGUACUAUCACAGCUGAUCAGCACGUGUAAUAGUACGGGAUCACACUUCGUAGAAGCAUGUCCUAAUUCACAGGUACCAAAUAUAAGGCAACACAUUGGCCUUUGGCAGAAAAGUAUUAUCAUAUUUCAAUAAUACCCAAAUAGCCCUUCACUGGACCGCCGUCCCGGCCUCUUACGCAAAAACGUUUUAUUUUCUUAGGGAGUUGAAUCACUCAACUCUCUCGAUCAACAAACUCGCCAUUUCACAUGGUCCGGAGUAGUCAUAUCAACUGAUGGCAACAUAACUAGAAUAAUUAGUUAUUUGCUAAUUAUGAAUUUCAACUCUUGUACUGUUUGGAGUAUAUCUGGUUAACAUAGUUUUCACUAUCUAUCUUAGAAGUAAUUCGAGAAUUCUAGUAGAAUGACUACUAGAAUGUAGGGAAUUCAAUCAUUGGAAUGUAUUGAAUUCAAUCAUUAUUUGAGUAUAUCUGUAUGGUGUAUGGAAUAUUGAACAACAAUUAAAUCCCAAGCAUAUGAUAUUCUAUGAAUUGAAAUUCUGAAUAUAAUAAUUGCAUUGGUAAUAAUUAAAAUUUGUGGAAUAAAAUCACUUGCUCUUAAUAAAUAAGAGAAGAAUAGAAAUACUUGCCUUUUGCUGUACGCUAACUGGUACUUGCUUUAGAACCUGGAGUCACUAUCAACUCUUGAAUCUAUAAUUCAAAAAGUAUUGAUUCAACAACUCGGGUUAACUCAAUUGAUAUACUCAUAUAUCUCGCGAAACAUAAACUACCCCUUCGUUUAUACUAAUCAUGGCAUCAACAUGUAAGUCAUGUAUCACAUAAUCAUGUACUUCAUAUAACAUGUGAUUCUGGUUAUCACGUGUCGGGUUUAGCUCAGAUGUUUAUCCUAGUUAUGAACUCCACUAAAAUGAAUUAAUCAACUCUUGGAAAAUGGGACGAUAUGCUUAUACCCUUUAAAUAAACAAUCGGUUAAUAACCAAUAAUCCAAAUAGACCACUAAGUCACCAGCUUGUACUUAAGCAUGCCAUCAUUUAACAGUUAACAAUUUGUGCAAAUCGAAACAGUACUUUAUAAUUAUACUCAGCUUUGGAAUAAUAUUCGCAAUAUUAUUAAUAACAAUCCGGGAAUCAAAUAUUACAUCUAGUAAUUAGUAGUACUAAUACAAUUUGCAUAUAACAUGAAUAGGCAAAAAUAUGUAUAUUAAUUUUAUUUAUAUCAUUAAUAUUAUUAUUAUCGUGGGUACAAUAAUAAUAAUAAAAAUAAUACAAAUACAACUAAUAUAACUUUUCUUUUCCGAAGUUCCGGCAGCCCCUCUCCGGCCACCCUGGUUCCCCGCUGCGGUUCCCUUUCCGGCAUCCCUUCGCCGGAAUCAAUCACUGGCCCCUCUCUUCUUAUCUCCCUCUCUCUCUCUCUCUCUCUCUCUCUCUCUCUCUUGGACCCUGCUUUCGGUUUCCGGCGACACUCGCCCCUCUGUUCUUCUUUCUGCCGCCUGCAACUCGCCAUCGCCUCCACUUCUAGUCUGCCUCGUCGCCCCCAUCGUCCCUACCAAACUUCGACCAUAACACCCACGCCACAGCACCAGCGUGACAACGACUCUACCGCCGGCAGAGUCUCGCCGUCGCUGCGUCUCCAACCUCCGGCGAAAUCGUCGCCUCCUCUGCUCACCCGAUCGACUCCAACCGAACACCCCACAACUCAGUCAAUCAACGACCAACCCAUCAGUCCAUCUCCUUCAAUCCCCAAACCCUCGAUUAAACUCCAGCCAUCACUAACCCUCCCCCACCUCCUUAAUUCAAACGAAACCAACACAGCACAUAAUCAUACAAUUGAUAUACACAUAAGUACAUACAAUAGCACUUGUUAUAUAGAGUAAUCUCACCUGUCUGGAUCAAUUCACUCGAACACUCAAACCCUAGUUCCUUAUUUCUCCUUUCUUUUCUGUACCGCCGACUCUGUUUCUGUAAAUAUGUGCGGGCUUUUGUUUUGUUUCUAAGGCCUUAUCUGAUUUUACGGGUGUCUGAUAUUAUCUCUUGAUGUGCCCACGUGUCACUGUAUAGGGUAGCCACAACUCUAC